GAUUCUGCUGGACCACAGGGUUCUUCAGUUGAUUACGUCUUAACUCACCAGAUAAGGCAGUCAGAAGUACCCAGAGGAGAAUAUCUGAAAUAUCAGUGGUUGCUGACUUUAUUCCAAAGACAGAAAAAACAUAGAACAUCUAUGAAAUAGAGACAUGAAAACUGGACUUCAUGAAAGAAAGUCCUGCCUCCAACAUGUAUGACUGUGCCCAAAAGAUUUUCCCUCCCAGAGCCAUGGUUUCCUUACAUUUAAAGAGGAGGAAACUGAGACAAAUGGGGUAAAGUGACUUGCCCAGGGUCACACAGCCAGUAAGUAUAUGAUCUCAGAUUUGAACUCAGGAAGAUGAGCCUUACAGAUUCCAGGUCUAGCACUUUAUCCACUGCACCAACAAAGACAAGAGGAUAAAACUCGACCAGAAAUGAGCAUGCUAGAAGAAGGAGGUGAAAUCCUUUUGCCCACUUUUUUCCCUGUGGGGGUCAACUCUGUGCAAUGAGACAUUUUUCAUCUAACUAAACAUUUCAAAAAAAAGGGAAAACUGGAGUGAGUUGCAAUUAAAAACUGUUUAAAUCUAAGAAUGAUAACUAGGAGAAGCCUCCUGCUACUCAGAGCCCAUCUGGAAGCACAAUAGGAGUAACUCAGCAACUUACAGAUGUUUGCCAACAACCUUCAGUCAAAGAAGCUCCUACGUGACUUGAUAAAGCAAGUAAUAUACCUGCAAGGGAACCAGAUUGAAUUUUGAAGGAAAAAGAAAUCACCCUCAUCAAAGACGUGUAUGUAUACUGAUUGCUAUUUCCUGGCAAGAAAUAACACUGUGGAAGAGGAAAGCUCUGUGGAAAAAUCCCUUCCUGAGGCAGAGGAUGACUGCUCUUUAAAGUGUUUCUAAGACAACUAAUUUGGAGAUGAAAUAGGAUGUUUUACCUUAAUAUGGGGCAUGAUUCACCAUUGAAAGAUGCUGUAGCAGACAUAGUACUAAAUCUUAUCUCAGGGAGUUGGAAAUGGCAAGCAUAUUGUGUCUCAGAGGUUCUUCAGCAGCGUACAACAUGGACUUCUGGGGAUGGAUUCCUCAGUUCACAUACAUGAGGUGAAGGGGGAACAAGCAUUUAUUAAGUAUGUGCUAAACUCUGUGCUAGGAGACAUUGGUCAAAACUAUUUAGGAAAAAAUAAAAGACAAACCACAAUGUACUUUAAAAAAAUCAUUGCAAAUUGAUAAUAAAAGUGUAAGGAGACUCCUUCAUUCCUUCUCUGUUCAGUAUAUAUUAAGUAAAACAAGUGGUAUA